rnacentral:lncRNA from 1 species
UCGUAGCUAGUCAUUCUUUACAUAACCAAAACUUAUAGUCAGGUAGGCAAGAUGGCAAAAGUUCUUGGUCGAGUUUGAUUUUCACUUCGAGCAUAAAAGUAGGGAGAACUAACCAAGUGGAAGACGCCUUCAGCAAAAAAAAUGAAUUUGCUACCCUCAGAUUGAUUACCCCAUAAACAUUCACAAAUUGAUUGAAGAAACUUAAAGCGAGACCCCUAGGCCAUUGCCCUCAUGAAAUUAGUGGAAGACAAGAACUUUAAAGACUUUUUGGUGGAAAAUAAGUCCUAUUGACGAAGAGGCCACAAAUGUUUGUUCCAAAAAGAAAAGAGUUGAGAUAGAAGUUGAUACAGGAGUUUCAUGAUACUUCUUGGGUUGGCCACCUAAUGUAAUAAAAGAAUAAAGACUUAUUUAAAUUUUCUUAAAUUGGU